rnacentral:rRNA from 1 species
AUACGUAGGGUGCAAGCGUUAAUCGGAAUUACUGGGCGUAAAGCGUGCGCAGGCGGUUUUGUAAGACAGUGGUGAAAUCCCCGGGCUCAACCUGGGAACUGCCAUUGUGACUGCAAGGCUGGAGUGCGGCAGAGGGGGGUGGAAUUCCGCGUGUAGCAGGGAAAUGCGUAGAUAUGCGGAGGAACACCGAUGGCGAAGGCAAUCCCCUGGGCCUGCACUGACGCUCAUGCACGAAAGCGUGGGGAGCAAACAGGAUUAGAUACCCUGGUAGUCCACGCCCUAAACGAUGUCAACUGGUUGUUGGGGAUUUAUUUUCUCAGUAACGAAGCUAACGCGUGAAGUUGACCGCCUGGGGAGUACGGCCGCAAGGUUAAAACUCAAAUGAAUUGACGGGG